rnacentral:rRNA from 1 species
UUCUUCGGAGAGUUUGAUCCUGGCUCAGGAUGAACGCUGGCGGCGUGCCUAAUACAUGCAAGUCGAGCGAACUGAUUAGAAGCUUGCUUCUAUGACGUUAGCGGCGGACGGGUGAGUAACACGUGGGCAACCUGCCUGUAAGACUGGGAUAACUCCGGGAAACCGGAGCUAA